rnacentral:rRNA from 1 species
AUUGAACGCUGGCGGCAGGCCUAACACAUGCAAGUCGAACGGUAACAGGAAGCAGCUUGCUGCUUUGCUGACGAGUGGCGGACGGGUGAGUAAUGUCUGGGAAACUGCCCGAUGGAGGGGGAUAACUACUGGAAACGGUAGCUAAUACCGCAUAACGUCGCAAGACCAAAGCGGGGGCCCUUGGGGCCUCUUGCCAUCGAAUUUGCCCGGAUGGGUUUCGCUAGUAGGGGGGGUAACGGCUCACCUAGGCGACGAUCCCUAGCGGGUCUGGGAGGAUGACCAGCCACACUGGAACUGAGACACGGUCCAGACUCCUAAGGGAGGCAGCAGUGGGGAAUAUUGCACAAUGGGCGCAAGCCUGAUGCAGCCAUGCCGCGUGUAUGAAGAAGGCCUUCGGGUUGUAAAGUACUUUCAGCGGGGAGGAAGGGAGUAAAGUUAAUACCUUUGCUCAUUGACGUUACCCGCAGAAGAAGCACCGGCUAACUCCGUG